CAGUCGCCGCGGGAAUACGAAGGGUGCAAGCGUUACUCGGAAUUACUGGGCGUAAAGCGUGUGUAGGUGGUUGUUUAAGUCUGUCGUGAAAGCCCUGGGCUCAACCUGGGAAUUGCGAUGGAUACUGGGCGACUAGAGUGCGGUAGAGGAUAGUGGAAUUUCCGGUGUAGCAGUGAAAUGCGUAGAGAUCGGAAGGAACAUCUGUGGCGAAGGCGACUAUCUGGGCCAACACUGACACUGAGACACGAAAGCGUGGGGAGCAAACAGGAUUAGAUACCCGUGUAGUCCCUGUCUCUUAUAC
rnacentral:rRNA from 1 species